rnacentral:rRNA from 1 species
UACAGAGGUCUCAAGCGUUGUUCGGAUUCAUUGGGCGUAAAGAGCGUGUAGGCGGCCAGGUAGGUCUGCUGUGAAAACUCGAGGCUUAACCCCAAGAGGCGGGCGGAUACUGCUGGGCUCGAGUCCGGAAGAGGCGAGUGGAAUUCCUGGUGUAGCGGUGAAAUGCGCAGAUAUCAGGAGGAACACCAAUGGCGAAGGCAGCUCGCUGGGACGGUACUGACGCUGAGGCGCGAAAGCGUGGGGAGCAAACAGG